AGUGAACGCUGGCGGUAGGCCUAACACAUGCAAGUCGAACGGCAGCACAGGAGAGCUUGCUCUCUGGGUGGCGAGUGGCGGACGGGUGAGGAAUACAUCGGAAUCUACUCUGCCGUGGGGGAUAACGUAGGGAAACUUACGCUAAUACCGCAUACGACCUACGGGUGAAAGCAGGGGAUCUUCGGACCUUGCGCGAUUGAAUGAGCCGAUGUCGGAUUAGCUAGUUGGCGGGGGAAAGGACCACCAAGGCGACGAUCCGUAGCUGGUCUGAGAGGAUGAUCAGCCACACUGGAACUGAGAAACGGUCCAGACUCCUACGGGAGGCAGCAGUGGGGAAUAUUGGACAAUGGGCGCAAGCCUGAUCCAGCCAUACCGCGUGGGUGAAGAAGGCCUUCGGGUUGUAAAGCCCUUUUGUUGGGAAAGAAAUCCAGCUGGCUAAUACCCGGUUGGGAUGACGGUACCCAAAGAAUAAGCACCGGCUAACUUCGUGCCAGCAGCCGCCGUAA
rnacentral:rRNA from 1 species